rnacentral:rRNA from 1 species
UACGGAGGGUGCAAGCGUUACUCGGAAUCACUGGGCGUAAAGGACGCGUAGGCUGGCUGACAAGUCAGAUGUGAAAUCCUAUGGCUUAACCAUAGAACUGCAUUUGAAACUGUUAGUCUAGAGUAUGGGAGGGGGAGAUGGAAUUAGUGGUGUAGGGGUAAAAUCCGUAGAUAUCACUAGGAAUACCUAAAGCGAAGGCGAUCUCCUGGAACAUUACUGACGCUAAGGCGUGAAAGCGUGGGGAGCAAACAGG